rnacentral:rRNA from 1 species
AGAGUUUGAUCAUGGCUCAGAUUGAACGCUGGCGGCAGGCCUAACACAUGCAAGUCGAGCGAGAAAGCACUUCGGUGCGAGUAGAGCGGCGGACGGGUGAGUAACGCGUAGGAAUUUGCCCAGUAGUGGGGGACAACUUAGGGAAACUUAAGCUAAUACCGCAUACGCCCUAAGGGGGAAAGCAGGGGAUCUUCGGACCUUGCGCUAUUAGAUAAGCCUGCGUGGGAUUAGCUAGUUGGUGAGGUAAAGGCUCACCAAGGCGACGAUCUCUAGCUGGUCUGAGAGGAUGAUCAGCCACACUGGAACUGAGACACGGUCCAGACUCCUACGGGAGGCAGCAGUGGGGAAUAUUGCACAAUGGGCGCAAGCCUGAUCCAGCAAUGCCGCGUGUGUGAAGAAGGCCUGCGGGUUGUAAAGCACUUUCAAUUGGGAAGAAAGAUUUAGAGUUAAUACCUCUUAAUAUUGACGUUACCAAUAGAAGAAGCACCGGCUAACUCUGUGCCAGCAGCCGCGGUAAUACAGAGGGUGCGAGCGUUAAUCGGAAUUACUGGGCGUAAAGCGCGCGUAGGCGGCCUGAUAAGUUGGAUGUGAAAGCCCUGGGCUCAACCUGGGAACUGCAUUCAAAACUGUCAGGCUAGAGUAUGGUAGAGGAUAGAGGAAUUCCUAGUGUAGCGGUGAAAUGCGUAGAUAUCCUGAGGAACACCAAUGGCGAAGGCAACUUUCUGGGACAAUACUGACGCUGAGGUGCGAAAGCGUGGGGAGCAAACGGGAUUAGAUACCCCGGUAGUCCAGGCCGUAAACGAUGUCAACUAGCCGUUGGGGAUCUUAGUAUUCUUAGUGGCGAAGCUAACGCGAUAAGUUGACCGCCUGGGGAGUACGGCCGCAAGGUUAAAACUCAAAGGAAUUGACGGGGGCCCGCACAAGCGGUGGAGCAUGUGGUUUAAUUCGAUGCAACGCGAAGAACCUUACCAGCCCUUGACAUCCUGUGAACUUUCGAGAGAUCGAUUGGUGCCUUCGGGAACACAGUGACAGGUGCUGCAUGGCUGUCGUCAGCUCGUGUCGUGAGAUGUUGGGUUAAGUCCCGUAACGAGCGCAACCCUUAUCCUUGGUUGCCAUCAUUUAGAGUUGGGCACUCUAGGGAGACUGCCGGUGACAAACCGGAGGAAGGCGGGGAUGACGUCAAGUCAUCAUGGCCCUUAUGGGCUGGGCUACACACGUGCUACAAUGGCCGGUACAGAGGGUUGCAAUGCCGCGAGGUGGAGCCAAUCCCAGAAAGCCGGUCCUAGUCCGGAUUGCAGUCUGCAACUCGACUGCAUGAAGUCGGAAUCGCUAGUAAUCGCGAAUCAGAAUGUCGCGGUGAAUACGUUCCCGGGCCUUGUACACACCGCCCGUCACACCAUGGGAGUGGGCUGCAAAAGAAGUGGGUAGUCUAACCUUCGGGAGGACGCUCACCACUUUGUGGUUCAUGACUGGGGUGAAGUCGUAACAAGGUAGCCGUA